UACGUAGGGGGCGAGCGUUGUCCGAAGUUACUGGGCGUAAAGCGCGCGUAGGCGGUUCUCUAAGUCUGAGGUGAAAGGUUCGGCGCUCAACGUGAACAGUGCCUUGGAGACUGGAGGACUUGAGUGUGGGAGGGGGCAGUGGAAUUCCUGGUGUAGCGGUGAAAUGCGUAGAUAUCUGGAGGAAUACCGGUGGCGAAGGCGGCGUUCUGGACCAUUACUGACACUGAAUCGCGAAAGCUAGGGGAGCAAACGGG
rnacentral:rRNA from 1 species